ensembl:processed_transcript
ACAUAUAACGGUCCGCUCUCCAGACACUGACCGCAUCUGACAAAAAAGGCUGCAUCCUCCAGAGGGUGCUUGAAGUGUGCUGCAUCAUCGUGGCGCGAUGAAGGCUGUCUCAUUUAAAAAAAAACUCUAAGGCUCCUUCAAAUGCAGCCCCCAUAUGUGUCCUUCGUUUCCCAGUUGGUGUAUGGUAAGCGCACUAACGCUGUUGUCCUGUGGCUGCCAUCGCAUCAUCCUAGU